rnacentral:rRNA from 1 species
GAGGGUGCAAGCGUUGUCCGGAAUCAUUGGGCGUAAAGAGUUCGUAGGCGGCAUGUAAAGUCCGGUGUUAAAGGCGCAGGCUCAACCUGUGUAUGGCACUGGAUACUUGCAAGCUAGAAUGCGGUAGAGGUAAAGGGAAUUCCUGGUGUAGCGGUGAAAUGCUUAGAUAUCAGGAGGAACAUCGGUGGCGUAAGCGCGUUACUGGGCCGUGAUUGACGCUGAGGAACGAAAGCCAGGGUAGCAAA